rnacentral:rRNA from 1 species
AACGAACGCUGGCGGCAUGCCUAACACAUGCAAGUCGAACGAGACCUUCGGGUCUAGUGGCGCACGGGUGCGUAACGCGUGGGAACCUGCCCUUAGGUUCGGAAUAACUCCCCGAAAGGGGUGCUAAUACCGGAUAAUGUCUUCGGACCAAAGAUUUAUCGCCUUUGGAUGGGCCCGCGUUGGAUUAGCUAGUUGGUAGGGUAAAAGCCUACCAAGGCGACGAUCCAUAGCUGGUCUGAGAGGAUGAUCAGCCACACUGGGAGUGAGACACGGCCCAGACUCCUACGGGAGGCAGCAGUGGGGAAUAUUGGACGAUGGGCGAAAGCCUGAUCCAGCAAUGCCGCGUGAGUGAUGAAGGCCUUAGGGUUGUAAAGCUCUUUUACCCGGGAUGAUAAUGACAGUACCGGGAGAAUAAGCUCCGGCUAACUCCGUG